rnacentral:sRNA from 1 species
UUUUUUUUUUUUUUUUUUGAGAUGGUGUCUAGCUGUGUCUCCCAGGCUGGAGUACAGUGGAGGUUGCAGUGAGCCAAGAUCACACCAUUGCACUCCAGCCUGGGUGACAAGAGUGAAACUCCAUCUGAAAAAAAAAAAAAAAGAAUUAAUUGGAACUUUAAGCUAAAAUAUAGUCAUAAUAUCUUAAAUGAGACUCUUCUAAGGCCCUUUUUUCUCAUUUUCCUUUUUUGUUUUCCUUCUUUUUUUCCCCCUUUUAUAUAUUUAUGAAAUCUCUUGAGAUCGCAUUUUAAACUUCAGGAAACAAACCAAUAAUGUGAGUAGAAGACACAAGCCUAGAGAGACAUGGUGCAAUAAAAGCAAGAGAAUAAUAUAGAAUAAUAUAGUGAGUAGAUGUUGAGCAAGAAACUGAGGUUUUGAAGCUUAAAUCUCCUUUCCAACUACUAAAAUC